rnacentral:rRNA from 1 species
ACUCGAGUAGCGAACGGGUGAGUAACACGUGGGUGAUCUGCCCUGCACUUCGGGAUAAGCCUGGGAAACUGGGUCUAAUACCGGAUAGGAGCCAUUUUUAGUGUGAUGGUUGGAAAGUUUUUCGGUGUAGGAUGAGCUCGCGGCCUAUCAGCUUGUUGGUGGGGUAAUGGCCUACCAAGGCGGCGACGGGUAGCCGGCCUGAGAGGGUGGACGGCCACAUUGGGACUGAGAUACGGCCCAG